rnacentral:rRNA from 1 species
UACAGAGGGUGCAACCGUUGCUCGGAAUCAUUGGGCGUAAGGCGCACGUAGGCGGCCCAGCAAGUGGGGAGUGAAAGCCCUCGGCUUAACCGAGGAAGUGCUUUCCAAACUACUGGGCUUGAAUACUGGAGAGGGUCGCGGAAUUCCCGGUGUAGAGGUGAAAUUCGUAGAUAUCGGGAGGAACACCAGUGGCGAAGGCGGCUCACUGGCCCGGUACUGACGCUGAGGUGCGAAAGCGUGGGGAGCAAACAGG